rnacentral:rRNA from 1 species
UACGUAGGGUGCGAGCGUUAAUCGGAAUUACUGGGCGUAAAGCGUGCGCAGGCGGUUAUGCAAGACAGAUGUGAAAUCCCCGGGCUCAACCUGGGAACUGCAUUUGUGACUGCAUAGCUGGAGUGCGGCAGAGGGGGAUGGAAUUCCGCGUGUAGCAGUGAGAUGCGUAGAUAUGCGGAGGAACACCGAUGGCGAAGGCAAUCCCCGGGGCCUGCACUGACGCUCAUGCACGAAAGCGUGGGGAGCAAACAGG